CCUACGGGGGGCAGCAGUGGGGGAUAUUGCACAAUGGGGGGAACCCUGAUGCAGCGACGCCGCGUGGGUGAAGGAGCGUUUCGGCGCGUAAAGCUCUAUCGGCAGGGAAGAAGGAGGACGGUACCUGACUAAGAAGCCCCGGCUAACUACGUGCCAGCAGCCGCGGUAAUACGUAGGGGGCAAGCGUUAUCCGGAUUUACUGGGGGUAAAGGGGGCGCAGGCGGCAGCGCAAACCAGGAGGGAAAGCCCGGGGGCCAACGCCGGGACUGCUGUUGAAACUGCGGGGCUGGAGUGCAGGAGGGGCAGGCGGAAUGCCUGGUGUAGCGGUGAAAUGCGUAGAGAGCAGGAGGAACACCGGUGGCGAAGGCGGCCUGCUGGACUGCGACUGACGUUGAGGCCCGAAAGCGUGGGGAGCAAACAGGAUUAGAUACCCCUGUAGUC
rnacentral:rRNA from 1 species